AUGAGGAUUUCUGCCUCUAUCACCCUAACAGGCAGUGAGUUUCAGGAUUGUACCACCCUCUGGGUGAAAAUGUUUCUCGUCUAAACCUUCUGUCCCUAACCUUAAUUUUGUCAUUCAUCCCUCUAUCAAAUGGAAAUGUUCCAGUCUGUGCCCCACAUAAUUUAAUACAUUUCAAUCAUGUUCCCUCUCAACCUCCUCCGCUCUAAGGAAAGCAUCCCCAGUCAGUCCAAUCUCUCUUCAUAAUUGAAACUUUCCAAGCCAGGUAACAUGCUGGUAAAUCUCCUCUGCACCUUCUCCAGGUAUCACAUCUCUCCUCUAACGUGAAUUCCAGAACUGCACACAAUACUUUAGCUGCCACCUAACAACAUUUUACACAUUGUCAGCCUACCUACAGCAAAUGGACUGGAGGGUUUCAGGAAGGCAGCACAUCAGGCAGCUCACCACUGCCAUCACCUUAAAGGCAUUUAGCAUUGGCAAUAAAUCUGGCCCAACUAGUGGCGUCCACACCCCAUGAAUGAAAGAAGUAAUUAAUGGCUUGGAUGAGGAGAGUGCACGUACUAUGGCCCAAGUCUGAGAAGGCAAGUGAUGAGGAUGAUGGAGUCUACAGAGGAACAUGAAUAGGUUAGAUAAGUGGGCAAAAACUUUUGGCAGAUGGAAAAUUGUAUGGCACAUUGGGAGGUUACACGCAUUGACAGGAAGAACAGAAGUGAUGAAUAUUAUUGAAACAGAAAAACUGCAGCAAGCAGCAGUACAGUUGAAUGUGGGGUCCCCCUUGCAAAAAUCACAAAAGGCUAGCACCCUAAUUCAGCAGAUAAUAGAAUUUGGUCUUCAGUUAAAAGGAAAUGAAGUAUGAAAUAGCGGAGUCUUGUUAAAACUAAAUGAGGCACUACUUAAACAAAACUAUAAUACUGUGAGUAUUUUGGACCACUUAUCUAAGGAAAGGUGUACUGGCAUUGGAAGCAGUCCAGAAAAGGUCACUGGGUUGAUCCUGUAUAUGGAGGGAUUUUCUGAUGAAGAGAGGUUGAGUAAGUUUGGGCCUAUAUUCAUGGGAGUUUAGUAGAAUGGGCGUUUACCUUAUGGAAACAUAUAAGAUUCUUGUUGGGGCUUAGAUGCUGAGAGGUUAUUUCCCCUUAUGAUAGAAUCUAGGACCAGAGGGCAUGAUUUCAGGCUAGGUGGUCACCCAUUUAGGAUAGAAAUGAGGAGGAAUAUCUUGUUUCACUGGGUGAUGAAUCUAUGAAAUUCUUUACUGUGGGGGGCAAUGGCGGCUGUAUCAUUAAGUAUAUUGAAGGCUGAGAUAGACAGAUUUGUAAUAAGUAAGGGAGUCAAGGGGGCAAAAGGCAGGAAAGUGGGAGUUGAGGCUUAUCAGAUCAUUGAUCAUAUUCAAUGGUGGAGCAAUCUAAGGAGCCAUGUAGUUGACUCAUGCUCUUGUUUCUUAUGCCUUUAUGACUGGAGUCUGUUAGAAGAAUGACUUUGGCUGUCCUAAAAUAUAAUGAGUGCUGCCCAGUUUUGUGCUGGCAAUAAGGGCCUGAUUAUAGGAGGAGCAAAUUACUGCAGUAUGAUCCCCAAUUAUAGGAGAUUUCUGUAUUUUAUAUCUGUUUAAGCUGUGACCAAUAGUUACAGUCAGAGAUCAAAUUACAGAAUGUUUACACUUUUUGUUCUUCGAAUUUCCAUCCAUUUUUCAUGGCUGGUUAUUGUACAUGUUAAUUUGCUGAUACACUUUCCUCUAUUUUCAAAGAAGAAUCAACAAGUUGGGCAAAUGGAGAUGAUGAUCAUGUUGUAGCAAGGGCAGAAUAUGAUUUCACUGCAGGCUCAGAAGAAGAGCUCACAUUUCGUUCAGGUGACCUGCUGAACCUAGCUCCCAAAGAACAACAACCUAAAGUACGUGGGUGGUUGAUGGCCAGUUUGGAUGGUCAAACAACAGGAUUAGUGCCAGCUAAUUAUGUCAGAAUUUUAGGUAAAAGACGGGGCAGAAGGCAAGCAGAGCUGCAACGCUUGGCAGAAAAACAGUCACAUGGAGGUUCAUCAACUGCAAGUGGACCUAACAUUAUUGAAUCACUGGAAGAACAAGAAGCAGCCUUUGAAUCGGUUUUUACUGAAACACCAGAACAUAAUAAAGAUUCUAGCACUACACAAUCCACACAUACUGGUAAAAAUGUAGUCAAUGUCUGACAAUAUUAAUAUUACUAACAGGAAGAAAGCUUUCCCUUUGUAAAUCUGGUGUGUUAAAUUAUAUUCAUAGGUUUUAGAUUUCUGUUGUACCAAAUUAUGAUCCUUCCAUCCUUAGCCCAGCAAAUUUUAUUUUGAAAAAUAAUUCAGGGCACAUAAGAUGUUUAUUUGUCACCUAUUAAGUGUCCAUACCCUUUGCCAACAUAUACCAGGUAUUUUUUGUUUGACCAAUGUACAACAGAUAAUUACACAUACUUAGCCACCAUUUAAAAUGGUUGGAUCGUUUCUAAAAAUUCUUGCAAUUUCAACAAAUUUGGAUGAUUGACCCAUAAGCCAAAAACAAAAGGUCACAAUUUUACAGCCCCCUACCACCCACUGAUAUAUUUGUAGACAGUUUGAAAGUAAAAUAAAAUGGAUAGCUACCUCCACAACGUUCCUGCUUGUCAUCAUAUAUUACUGUGGGUGGGUAAGGUAUCAGUGAUAUCCCACCCUUGGGCUUCUAGCUUGUUUUCACCUUCAUUGCUGUAAUUUUUGCAGGUGUAGAAGGUGGAACAAUAAGCUAGCAUGCUAUUUUUAACCCUGGGACUUAAAAGUGGGAAGGAAGCAGGCAGGAGUUCCCUAUGCUCAUCAGAUCCUUGAUUCCUCCCUGACCAAAAACCUAAAGACUUACUUGCAAGUCCAGCAUUCAUGGAUCUUUUCAUUUGCCACUACUGAGUUCUCACGUAGCUGCAAGUCUUGAGGGCAGGACCUCCUUUUCCUAUAGGACGGAAGUCUUGCUCUCAGCUCAUUACAGCCUCUCCCAGUACAUUAUCAUUGUGGGGGUGGGCGGUAGCCAUUUGUUUAAAACCCGUUGGCUUAAUACCAACUUUUCAGUGGGGGUAGCAAACCCAGAACCCUGUCAUUCCCUGUGUAAAAUUUGCCCUUCAGUCUUUUUUGUUGCCUUUAAUUUCUUCUUCUGCGGAGACCUGGAUUUUAUUCAACAAAAAUUGGUUACAAGUGAUGUGAUUUGAAAGCAUAUUGGAAAGCUCUGUCCAUACUUAAAAUUUGAAUACUCAGGUUUUUUGCAUUUGUGAAACUGGUGAUAUUCUGGUAAGUUUGGUAGUAAACCUGUAGCUUGUGAUGCCAUUGCUGCUUGAUGAAAUUAACUAGAUCAUUAUAAUACAAUAUGUAUUAACUCAAAUGUAUCAGUUAUAGCAAACAUUUGAACCAAACAUGUGAUUACUUCUAAAUUGUUCACAUUAUCCACGAUAAUAAUUUCACAAGUGAAGGUAAUGUGCCUGAUGUGGUGUACUUAAUUAAUUGGAUAACCAUGAAAAUGGUAGUUUGCUGCUGUUCUUUUGAAAUAUUAUCUGUAUCAUAUUUCCAACUAGGAGAAGUAGCCAAACUGAAGCAAUCACAGCUGAGUAAUAGUUUCAAAACAAACUCACUUGUGAUAAAAGGUGAACAUGGUGUUCAACACAUUGUGACAGUGUAUGGAUGUUACCUGAUGGAAAUAAUUAAAUAGUGAAACAUCAUUUUAAAGUAAGAAUGUCAAGGGUCUACUGAGUAAGUCUUUGCAUAAGUUAAUCUAAAUGUAUAUUUUCAUUUGGAAUCAUAAAUUUCUUUCAAACAGUAUUAAACAUUACAUGCUUAUGAAA